GUGAAUCAUCGAAUCUUUGAACGCAAAUUGCGCCUUUUUCGGAAGGCAUGUCCGUUUGAGGGCACCAUUUAACAAAUAAUGUGCGGCGUUUUUGGUUGCACCCGUUGAUGACCUUUCCAAGAAUUUUAAAUUUUUGGUGGCGCAUAAUGAACAGCGUGAAAGUUUUUUUCAGUUCGAGUGUUUUAAAUUCUUUGCUUGGUUUUUGAAAAAACAUAAUCGCGCAAUGGUGGUGGCAUUUUCUUUUUAUCCUUGCCCCAAUCCCACUCUUUCUCACGGAAGAUGGU
rnacentral:misc_RNA from 1 species